rnacentral:rRNA from 1 species
UACGAAGGGGGCUAGCGUUGCUCGGAAUCACUGGGCGUAAAGGGUGCGUAGGCGGGUCUUAAGUCAGGGGUGAAAUCCUGGAGCUCAACUCCAGAACUGCCUUUGAUACUGGCGAUCUCGAGUCCGGGAGAGGUGAGUGGAACUGCGAGUGUAGAGGUGAAAUCGUAGAUAUUCGCAAGAACACCAGUGGCGAAGGCGGCUCACUGGCCCGGUACUGACGCUGAGGUGCGAAAGCGUGGGGAGCAAACAGGGAUUAGAAACCCCCA